rnacentral:rRNA from 1 species
UACAGAGGUCUCAAGCGUUGUUCGGAUUCAUUGGGCGUAAAGGGUGUGUAGGUGGCGCCGUAAGUCGGGUGUGAAAUCUCGGGGCUUAACUCCGAAACUGCAUUCGAUACUGCGGUGCUUGAGGACUGGAGAGGAGACUGGAAUUCAUGGUGUAGCAGUGAAAUGCGCAGAUAUCGGGAAGAACACCCGUGGCGAAGGCGGUUCUCUGGGACGGUACUGACGCUGAGACGCGAAAGCGUGGGGAGCGAACAGG